UUGGCACCUUAUGUCGUCAGAUCUAACCCUGAACGGUAACUGGCGACAGUUAACCGUCCUGGCCGGCACCCGUUACAAGUGUUCCUAGAAGCCACCACCAUGCGCUGGGCAAAGCAUUUUAUGUUACUUUGUCUUAAUCCUCAGGACAACUUUGAGUGAGGAGAGCCAACAUCUCCCAAUACUGAUGGCCGCACUCCCUGGGAUUCGUCAACCCACUACCUCAGCGGAUCUUGAAAUUCAGUUUCAAGACUGAUUUUGUGUUUUCAAUGACACGUGACCUGAAUUCGAUAGUAAACAUGUUGAUGUGAAUUUUGAUUCAAGAUGAAAACUUUUCGGGGCUCGGAGAAAACACGUGCUCCCGGACUAGCUUCUUUUUUUGUUUCUUCCUGGAUUUUACCCCUGAGACCCACCUUGGGGGAAGAGAGAGCCCCUCUCACAAUGACGGAUUUCCCUACCGUCUUCUCGGGACACGUUGUUAAUGACAAGACAACAACAACGACAACCCGGAUGAGUACAGAAGUCCUAAAAAGAGGAGGACCGCACGGCAGAUAAUCCCAUGCCGAGUCACUCAAGCAUCAGCAGCGGGUCCUAAGGUAAUUUACAAGGAAUUGAUUCUUAAUUACCCAGAACAGGCUAGCGUGACCUUUCCUGCCCAGUGAAAAGAGGUGUGGGCCCUCCAGCCCAAGGAGCUGAGCCUGAACAGCCUUCACACCAUGAAGACCUGAAUCAC